rnacentral:rRNA from 1 species
GAUGAACGCUGGCGGCGUGCUUAACACAUGCAAGUCGAACGAUGAAGGAGGAGCUUGCUCCUCCGGAUUAGUGGCGAACGGGUGAGUAACACGUGAGCAAUCUGCCCCUGACUCUGGGAUAAGCGUUGGAAACGACGUCUAAUACCGGAUACGAGCUGAGAAGGCAUCUUCAGCAGCUGGAAAGAACUUCGGUCAGGGAUGAGCUCGCGGCCUAUCAGGUAGUUGGUGAGGUAACGGCUCACCAAGCCUACGACGGGUAGCCGGCCUGAGAGGGUGACCGGCCACACUGGGACUGAGACACGGCCCAGACUCCUACGGGAGGCAGCAGUGGGGAAUAUUGCACAAUGGGCGCAAGCCUGAUGCAGCGACGCCGCGUGGGGGAUGAAGGCCUUCGGGUUGUAAACUCCUUUCGCCAUUGACGAAGCCCUUUGGGGUGACGGUAGGUGGAGAAGAAGCACCGGCUAACUACGUGCCAG